UGAUUCGAUCUUCUUCACCCUCUAAGACACUCCAUGUGUAGUUCCUGGUUUGUGAGGCACAAAAGGACACAAGCUUCAGAAAUUAUCCCAAAUUACACAAGAUAAAAGGACAAAUCUUGAAACUAUGAAGCAGACACAAAACAAGGGUUAGUAGUAUCAAGUAAACAAGCCUUUUAAUUCGGAUUCCUCAGACACAUUAGUCCUUUUGAAUUAGCUGUUGAAAACCUGAAAUCACAGAACAAGAAGAAAUCAAAAUAAAACCAAUAAAUCCCAACUUGGUUCAGUUCUCACCCUAACUAAGAAUGAACAUAGAGGGAAAAAAAACAGAUCAAAACUUUUUUAACAAGUACCUCGUAACAACUUGGUAUCAGGGCGUACUGAUUUACGGAAUCGAAUAACAUCACAAGUUCACACCCUUCAAAGGCACGAACUGAUACCUAAACAAUUGUCUUUCCAACUCCUUGGAGGCCAUCCAACAAUAUUGCUGUAGGACCUGAUUUAGCAAAGUGUAGCUCAAAUACUUCUCCUCCACCCAUCAAUUUCACUAGCUCAUCAUGUGGAAUCUGCAACAUAUACAUGAUAAGCCAAACUUCAAUACUAUUGAAACCAAGACGAUAGAGUAAAAAAAACAUUAUGCUAGUGAAAAGAUAUGAGGAAGGACUAAGGAGAUGAAACAGAAACAAAAAAUAACUAUUGUUGAGUACCUUUACCAACUGCUGAUAUGAUUCGAAUCCACCAUUUCCACCGGCUUAAUCACAAACAGAGUACUGAACAACCCUUUUACCAACUAGGAGACUCACCUGUUAGAAAAACCGCCAAGAGAAUCCUAGAUUGAGCUUAACAGCAAAAGAGAAAAAAAAAAAGAAGACAAAAACAGUGAAAGAAAUGGAACCUUGACCUUUGAGUUUGCUCUGCAAGCAGCUUGGAGAGUCCACUAGUCAACUGAGAAAACAUCUCGGGUCUUUACUUGGUUCCUUGUGUUAUGUAUCUUCCAUGGCCACCAGUCUUCUUUUUAACCCAACUCCUUGGAUCCUAUCUAGCAAUAUUACUGUAUGACCUGAUUUAGUAAAGUGUAGCUCAUAUACUUCUAGUCCAGCCAUCAGUUUCGAUUAGCUCAUCAAGUACAAUCUGCAACAUAGCUAUGAUAAACAACACUUGAGUACUAUUGGAACCAAAACGAUAGAGUGAAACAAUAAUAAAAACCAAAAUGAUCACAUGCUAGCAAACCGGCCAAAAGAAUCCUCGUUUGAGCAUUAGGGUAAUAAAAAACAGAGAAAAAUGGAACCUUGGCCUUUGAGUUUGCUCUUCAAGCAGCCUUGUUGAGUCCACCAGUCUAUUAAACAAACAUCUCGGCUCUUCACUUGGCUCCUUC
rnacentral:lncRNA from 1 species